rnacentral:rRNA from 1 species
CCUACGGGUGGCAGCAGUGGGGAAUAUUGCACAAUGGGGGAAACCCUGAUGCAGCGACGCCGCGUGAGUGAAGAAGUACCUCGGUACGUAAAGCUCUAUCAGUAGGGAAGAAAAUGACGGUACCUGUCUAAGUAGCCCCGGCUAAAGCCGUCCCAGCAGCCGCGGUCAUACGGAGGGGGCAAGCGUUCUCCGGAUUUACUGGGUGUAAAGGGAGCGUAGACGGCAGCACAAGUCUGGAGUGAAAUCCCGGGGCUUAACCCCGGAACUGCUUUGGAAACUGUGCGGCUGGAGUGCAGGAGAGGUAGGCGGAAUUCCUGGUGUAGCGGUGAAAUGCGUAGAUAUUAGGAGGAACACCGGUGGCGAAGGCGGCUUACUGGACUGUAACUGACGUUGAGGCUCGAAAGCGUGGGGAGCAAACAGGAUUAGAUACCCUGGUAGUC